GGCUUGUUCCAUGUCCCAGUUCACAGCUCCCAGCAUGGCCAGCGUCUUAGAGCAGCUGAAUAUUAUCAAUGGAAUCCUCUUCAUUCCACUAAGCCAAAAAGAUUUAGAGAGCCUUAAGGCCGAGGUACAGAGACGGCAGCAGCUGCAAGAAUCCUUCCGGAGCAGCGAUCAGCCGGAGACCGAAGAGAAGCCCCCCGAAGAGGAAGAACGAAGCCAGCCCGUCCGUCCCAACACCCCUUAGAGCUUUAAAGAGCUUUUUAGUUCACUGGUCCUCACCACAGAAUUUGCCCCAGGUGAUUCAAGCCUCACCCUGGGACAAUUUUGGCAAUGUUGUUUGUUUCUGGGGAGGGAUAAUUUUUUUUUUGUUUUUGUUUGUGUUUGAUUUGCACUGGUACAAUGAAUUUACAAUGCAAAAGAACAAAAUUUUGAGAAAUGAAGUCUACCUGUCUGUAAACGGGCCACCCGCAAGCAUCUCAGGUGGCCUGGAAGAGAGCAGAAGGUCUGUGCCCCCCAAACGGCCCAACUACACGUAGACCAAGGAUGCCACAUCGAGGUGGCGAGAGAGGAAGAAGAGGGGCAGGAGAUGUAUGUUGCGUGUAUGUGUGUGAGUGUAUCAUCCAUCCAUUUCUACUGUGUACAUAAGAGAUUUAAUUCCAAGUGAGGGAUAAUAUAAUAUUUCUCAGGUCAUUUUUAUGUUGACUUUUAAAAAGAAGACAUUUAACUUUGCAAAAAUCUUUGGCCAUCAGCCCACCAACUAUUGAUUUUAGAGUGUAUUUUUUUCCCCUUCCCCUUCUUUCUUCCUGCCUUUAAGCCUCGGGCCCCUUAAACACUGUUUAGGUGUCUGCAACAUUAUAAAUAUUAUAUAUUAAAUAUAAAUUCAGCCAUAUUUUUAUCGGAAUAUCAAUUUUUUUAAAAAAAAGCCCAAAUGGAUUUGGUUCGGAAGAGAGAGAAAUUUUAAGGCGCGUUAAAAAAAAAAUCCCUCCUUAUCUCUCCCCCUCUUCCUUCCCCCCCACCGCGCUCACAUUUAGGAAGAAAAAGCCACUGUGUUCCAUUCAGGUGCCACAUUUAGCUUUAUUUUAGGGGAGGGUAAAAAAAAAAUACAGGGAGCAUUUUAUUAUUGUGGUUUGCAACUCGUCAUGUCCCGGGAAAAAGCAAACAGUGCCUCAAUAAAUUCCUUUGGGUUUACACGAGAUGGAAUAAGAUGAAAAACAUCCCAAAGAAAGUACAGGAACCGGAAUGUUAAAAAACCCCACUUUUAAUAUUGGUUGAACGAAGGUGUCUCCUUCCCUCCCUCUCCCAGGCAUUUGCAAGUGAAUGGUUAAACCUGGAGCCCAGAGCGAUGGGAACGAGAGUCCCACUGACUUCCACUGACUGCCACUUAGUUCCAGAACUUGGGAAGAAGGGCUGAUCGUUUCGUACCACCCUUCGAUUCUGCCAACUUCCCCAUCACUGCACUGUCCCGCACCCACCUGCCUCUUGGCUAACCCUCAGUGCCUGUGUGCUCUCCCUGUCCCCCCCCCCCAAACACCAAUUCCGGAGGAGGGGGGGAAAUUUGCACAAAAGGAAACUCAUUUGCCCAGAGCGUCCUUGGAAAAGAGGGUGGGAUUAGGAAGUGGGUGGGAGAGAAGCAGUGGACACAUGUAACCAAGAAUACCAUCCCUGGAGAAAAAGAACCACCAACAACUGCCCCAGCAGUAGAAUCGAAUCAAUCAAUGUCUCUUUUAUUUCUAAGGUUUAUCUGUGAAUGUAUUAAAAACCAAGAAUCAUGAA